rnacentral:rRNA from 1 species
CUACGGGAGGCAGCAGUGGGGAAUAUUGCGCAAUGGGGGAAACCCUGACGCAGCAACGCCGCGUGAGUGAAGAAGGCCUUCGGGUCGUAAAGCUCUGUCUUUGGGGACGAAUAAUGACGGUACCCAAGGAGGAAGCCACGGCUAACUACGUGCCAGCAGCCGCGGUAAUACGUAGGUGGCGAGCGUUGUCCGGAAUUACUGGGCGUAAAGGGUGCGUAGGCGGUUUCUUAAGUCAGAUGUGAAAUCCCAGGGCUCAACUCUGGAGUGGCAUUUGAAACUGGGGAGCUAGAGUGCAGGAGAGGAAAGCGGAAUUCCUAGUGUAGCGGUGAAAUGCGUAGAUAUUAGGAAGAACACCAGUGGCGAAGGCGGCUUUCUGGACUGUAACUGACGCUGAGGCACGAAAGCGUGGGGAGCAAACAGGAUUAGAUACCCCGGUAGC